rnacentral:rRNA from 1 species
AGAGUUUGAUCAUGGCUCAGGAUGAACGCUAGCGGGAGGCCUAACACAUGCAAGCCGAGCGGUAGAAGUCCUUCGGGACUUUGAGAGCGGCGUACGGGUGCGUAACACGUGUGCAACCUACCUUUAUCUGGGGGAUAGCCUUUCUAAAGGAAGAUUAAUACCCCAUGAUAUAAUGAUUGGCAUCAAUUAUUAUUGAAAACUCCGGUGGAUAGAGAUGGGCACGCGCAAGAUUAGAUAGUUGGUGAGGUAACGGCUCACCAAGUCAAUGAUCUUUAGGGGUCCUGAGAGGGAGAUCCCCCACACUGGUACUGAGACACGGACCAGACUCCUACGGGAGGCAGCAGUGAGGAAUAUUGGACAAUGGGCGAAAGCCUGAUCCAGCCAUGCCGCGUGUGUGAAGAAGGUCUUCGGAUUGUAAAGCACUUUAAGUUGGGAGGAAGGGCAGUAAAUUAAUACUUUGCUGUUUUGACGUUACCGACAGAAUAAGCACCGGCUAACUCUGUGCCAGCAGCCGCGGUAAUA